rnacentral:rRNA from 1 species
GUAACAAGGUCUCCGUUGGUGAACCAGCGGAGGGAUCAUUACAGAGUUCUAAAAGACUCCCAAAACCAUUGUGAACGUACCCGUCAGCGUUGCCUCGGCGGGCGGCCCCUCCCUGGGGCCGCUGCCUCCCUCGGGGGGUGCCCGCCGGCGUACCAAAACUCUUUUGUAUUUUAGUGGCCUCUCUGAGAAAACAAGCAAAUAAGUUAAAACUUUCAACAACGGAUCUCUUGGUUCUGGCAUCGAUGAAGAACGCAGCGAAAUGCGAUAAGUAAUGUGAAUUGCAGAAUUCAGUGAAUCAUCGAAUCUUUGAACGCACAUUGCGCCCGCCAGUACUCUGGCGGGCAUGCCUGUUCGAGCGUCAUUUCAACCCUCAAGCCCUGCUUGGUGUUGGGGUCCUACGGCUGCCGUAGGCCCUGAAAGCUAGUGGCGGGCUCGCUAUAACUCCGAGCGUAGUAGUAAAAUAUCUCGCUAGGGAGGUGUCGCGGGUUCCGGCCGUGAAAGCCCAUCUUUUACACAAGGUUGACCUCGGAUCAGGUAGGAAUACCCGCUGAACUUAAGCAUAUCA